GCGUAUUGGAAUUUACUACGAUUCAAUUGAAGCUAGAGCUUUGUAUCAAGGGGAGAGAUUUGCUAGUAAAAUUUUGGAACCAUUUUAUCAGGGUCACAAGAAUACUAGCAGCUUGCAUUCAGUGUUCAAAGGUCAAACCUUGGUUCUACUGGGAGACAGAGAGAAAUCCAAUUAUAAUAAUGAGAAAAAUUCAGGAGUAUAUGAGAUGGAAGUGAAGCUUUACAUGCGGAUAAGACUAAAAUUUGGUCGGAUAAAAACACGCAAAAUUAAGCCAAAGAUUGAGUGUGAUUUCAAGGUUCCUCUGGAAUCUAAUGGCAGAUCAUCAUCUGCUAAUUUCGAGGAAACCAGAUGCCAUCUUGAUUGGUAGUUUUCAUCUCUUUUUUGUUUGUUCAUAGAUUUAUUUGUUUUCAUAUAUUCUUUAGACUAGUUAAUUAGUCAAAUAUUUUUUUUUUAAUUAUUUGAAUUUAAUUGAUAGUUGAUAUAGAAGAAUAAGAAAAUUUUAUAGUACCAUAAAUAAGAAACAAAUGUAUUCUCUUUGUCUAAUUUUACUUGUUUACUAUACUAAAAAAAAUAUCUACUUUUAUUUGUCCAGUUUGAUUUUUGAGAAAUCCAAGAGACAUUCUACCAUUUUACAUCUACACCAUAGAUCAAGGGGUGUCUAAUAAAAUAUUAAUUAGGGAUAAUAUAGUAAAAUAUACUAAGGGAGUAUUAUAUAAAACGUACAUUUCCACAAAAAAAAAGGUAACACACGCAUGCAUACACGUUUAUUCCUCACUAAAUAGUCUAUUCAACACGUAGAAAAUUGUUAUGUCUGUUUACGUUCUAUUUCUAAUUAAAUAUUGUUCAUACUCCCUCCGUUCACUCUUAUUAUACUAAAAAUAUAUUUUUACUUUUAUUUGUUCACUAUACUAAAUCACGAGAAAGACAAUUUUUUUUCCUGUUUUACCUUUAUCAUUAACUACUCGUUCCCCAAAACUUUUGAAGAUGCUAUCAUUAUUAUGAGUAAAAUUGUAAAAUACAUACUUCAUUUAUUUUUUCUUAAAGGAGUAUAAAGUCAAAAGUGGACAACUAAAAGUGAAUGGAGGGAAUAAAUAAUAUUAAAAAUAAUGGAAUAAAAUUAAUUAAGCAAAGAAAAGGUAAAAUUGUCUCUUUUUAGUUAACAUCUUCGGAGUAAUUGUAAGUUUUUCUGUACAUCGAGUAAAAUGUAUAAUCAUUUUAUAAGUUGAUCAUAAUAAAAAUGUCUACGUACACUCAUAUUUCUAUUUUAUUUUCAUUUUUGUAAAGAAAAAAGUUAUGUAAGGGUAUACUAAAAGAUCUUGAUGCAUUAGAUAAUUAUACCCAAAGAAAAAAAUAAAAAAACUAAUUGGAUGAGAUCUUCUAAAGAGGAAACGGUUCUGCAAUUUUUUUCUUUUCUUUAAACAUGUGCUAGUUAUUAGAGGGUAAGAUGUAAACUCUUUUUUUUUAUUUCUCACCCGAUAUUCGAUACUCACAUUGGAGCCCGACUAAUCCGGAUUCGCACCGAAAAAUUCCACAUUGGGGUAAAGCGCUCCCUAACAUUGGGGUAAGAUGUAAACUCAAAAUGGCAAGAGUUGCAUGAAAAAGAAAAAGAAAGAGAGAACGACAAACACUUUUUUCUUCGAUAUUUUAUCAUAACAUUAAAUAUUAACUUUAUGAUUAUUGCUCUUUCCGUAUAUAUGCAUAAUCAUUAGCAGAAGAACAGCAUAAUAUGAACACCCAAAGAAGCAACUGCAAAAAAAGACAAAUUUAUCAAAAAAAAAUAUGAUAAAAAGGAGAAGAAAAUUUGAAGUCAUCCACAUACAAAAUAAUAAAAUCAGAGUUUAAAGCAUGAGAAACCUGCAAAUCAUAUACAACUUUUGCUCGUGUAUAUGGGCAACUUUGUUAUCGAUUUGCCUUCAGAUGUUGGAGUCUUCAUUAUACGAAAAUCUAUCAAACACAAAAGAACAAAAUUAAUUAAAAACCCAUCAGUAUUAGCAAUGUGUUAACUCAAUAUACCGCCACAUCCUAAUUUAUAAACAGAAAUUAAAUAGCAAAAGUUAAAACGAAAGAAUCAAACCGAAAGGGACAAAAUAAUGGAAGCAGACAUACCACAUUCAAAAAUGCAAGAAUAAUGAAAAAAUGUGAAUGUUACGUUCUUCCAAGUCUUCUUCGUAACAGUUCCUCUUCUUCCUUAUUCUUUUUCAAGUUUCUUUCCUAUUUUUCUGAUGGUGGCUUAUGGGAUUUAUAGUUGAUAGAAAAAUUUGUGAGGCUUUUAAAGUUCUAAGAGAAACGGUUCUUUAUUAGUAAGGCAUUUCGAUCGGCUUUGAAUAGGUGAAAAC
rnacentral:lncRNA from 1 species